CCAAGAAAGACUCAAAAGAAAUGCUCUCAUCGUUAAUGGAAAAUCCAGAGAACGUGAACAAAUAUGGCAAACAUUAAAAAUUCCGUGGUCCUAAUUCACUUAUAAAUACUAAGCUAAUGUAAGCUUGAGAGCUACCGCAACAAACAUCAAUAGAAAUUCAUUUGCAAGAAGAAAUGAAGAUCGCUUUUGCUUUCGGUCUGUUCUUUAUUACCUUCCUUUUUGCUUCAAUGGGUAAUUUUCUCUGACUGCAUGUUGCUUUACGCUUUUUUUAACAGCUUAAAAUUCUUUAAUUUCUUCAGUCUUAUGAUUCAUUGAUUAAUUUUCUUAAUUAGUUUGAUAAUUGCAUGCAGGUGCAACAUUAUUAGGACAAGCACAGGUUAAUGAUGUGGAAUGCUUACAACCUCUGAUUCGUUUUUCGUUUCCUUGUACAUCUUAUCUCUGCAAUGAUUACUGUAUUAAGUUCUAUGGUCCUAAUAUUAAUAGUACCUGUCUCGAUGAACACGUUUGCUGUUGCAAAAAUUACAUGUGACGUAUGCUUAUGUAUAUUUAAGAUGAAUCAGCCUCGGGGCCUCAGUUCAUGUUUAAUAAAAUCACCAGUUAA
rnacentral:lncRNA from 1 species